UUUAGUAAAUUGCCUUGCAAAAAGGUUGGUGAAUGGUGAUAAAAUAAUUCUAUAAGCGGUGGAUUGUCUCGGUGAUGCAAAUUUAAUAAUUUUCUUCGUCCUGUCGCAUCCGGCUUCGAACAAACCCUCUUCUUAGAAUGCAUCAAUAUUGCUAGUCUAGUGAUCGAACCAGAGCACCCAUGGAUCCUGCGAUGCAUCCCAACCUCUUCACUUUGAAAAAAAAAAAAAAAAAAAAAAAAAAACCCAUGUUAGACAACCACUACUUCUUUGUUGCAUUCUCUACUGUAUUUGGCAAUAGCAGGCUGUCUUCCAUGGUGGUGUCUUCUGCUGUGGAACUCAAUAGCCGCGGCCGCCUCAGGUGCUGAUGAUGAUCACCCUACGGAUACUGGGGAUUUCGAUUUGGGUAAUAUAUACAUGAAGAGAUGAAGAGAAAGUUCUGACAUUCGGAGGCCCAAAGUUUACAUUUCUGUAUGCAAAGAGUGGUAGUAUACAGCCAAUAUGACAGCAAGAAAAACAGAGCAAAUAUUGUAAGGCUGAUUUGCAAUGAAAAAAAAUACAAAGACAAAAAUCAUGUUGUACACAUUAACUUUCGAUAUAGGGGUUGAGAAAGAAGUAAUAUUGUACUGGAUGUGUGAAUUUGUAUCGGUUAUUGUUGAUAAAUUGCAUAACUCAGCUGGGUUUUUGUCAA